rnacentral:lncRNA from 1 species
GGGCAGCUCUGCCCCACCCACCCCAAUGUCCAGGGACCCAGCCGAUAAUCCCACCUGUCCCCACCCUGCCCCGUCCGCCUAGGAGACCUUGUGGUUGGACAGCGUCUCUUUAAUCAUCAAGGACUCCUUGGAGGGGGAGCUGACCAUCAUUGACAACCUGUCCGGCUCCAUCUUCCACCACUACUCCUCACCUGCUGGCUGUGACAAGUGUCACCAUGACAAGCAAGAGGUGCAGCUGGCUGAGACAGAGGCCUUCUCCCUGAACUCAGACAGGUCCUCGUCCAUCCUGAUGGGGGAUGACCUGAGUCUCGAGGACCCCACAGCCUGCCCACAGGGCCCCAAGGAGAGCAAGGGUGAGCUAGAGCCUCCGGAGCCCUUGCAGGCAGGAGACCUGGAUGAAUGCUUUUUCCCCUUUGCCAAUGCGCCAGUGUCUUCAGGCCCAGAGAGCCUGCUGUGUGAGAUGGAGGCCAUCCCGUUCAAUCCUGUCCAGUCCUGGCUCAAACAUGAGAGCAGCCAAGCAUCCCAGAGCCCUUUCUCCCCGGAUGCCUCCAGUCCUCUCCUGCAGAUGCCUGCAGAGUUCUUCCAUCCCGCUGUGUCUGCCAGCCAGAAGGGACAGGAACCCGGCAUGAGUGCAGGGAACCUGCCCAAGAUCGCUCUUCAGGGCUCCUGGGCAUCCCUGAGGUCACCAAGUGUCAACUGCACCCUCUUGCGUCAGGCUACUGUGAGUGACACAUCACUGGAUGCCAGCCCUAGCAGCUCAGCUGGCAGCCUGCAGACCACAUUGGAGGACAGUCUGACACUGAGCGACAGUCCCCGCCGUGCCCUGGGACCACCUGUCCAGGUGUCAGGGCCACGAGCUGGCUUGUCACCAACCACCCGACGUCGCC